GAUGAACGCUGGCGGCGUGCCUAAUACAUGCAAGUCGAGCGAACAGACGAGGAGCUUGCUCCUCUGACGUUAGCGGCGGACGGGUGAGUAACACGUGGAUAACCUACCUAUAAUACUGGGAUAACUUCGGGAAACCGGAGCUAAUACCGGAUAAUAUAUUGAACCGCAUGGUUCAAUAGUGAAAGACGGUUUUGCUUUCACUUAUAGAUUGAUCCGCGCCGCAUUAGCUAGUUGGUAAGGUAACGGCUUACCAAGGCAACGAUGCGUAGCCGACCUGAGAGGGUGAUCGGCCACACUGGAACUGAGACACGGUCCAGACUCCUACGGGAGGCAGCAGUAGGGAAUCUUCCGCAAUGGGCGAAAGCCUGACGGAGCAACGCCGCGUGAGUGAUGAAGGUCUUCGGAUCGUAAAACUCUGUUAUUAGGGAAGAACAAAUGUGUAAGUAACUAUGCACGUCUUGACGGUACCUAAUCAGAAAGCCACGGCUAACUACGUG
rnacentral:rRNA from 1 species